GCUACUACAGGAUAACAGCCCAUCCGUUGGUCUUAGGAACCAAAUUUUUUUUGGUGCAAAUGAAGGAGUACCA
rnacentral:tRNA from 1 species